rnacentral:tRNA from 1 species
ACCCAUUUAGUUUAUAUUUUAAAACAUGGCUCUGAAGAAGCUAAGAAUUUUUCAUGGGUG